GGAAAGGUUCAGAAAAACGCAAUCCAAUUCCAGCCUACAGAACGUUUGGAAGUUUGAAGUUUACGGCUGGAAUUGGAUUGCGUUUUUCUAAACCUUUCCA